UUUUUAAUGUAACACUUUCACCACAUAGAAUAUUACUCAAAACUAAUCGCAUUAUACCAUACAGGAUGCAUGUGUUGACUUAAAGAGACCAUCACCUUGUCCUGUGGCUGGAUACUAGAUUGGACAAGUCGCGUUCGAAAUAGCGUGAGGCUGGUUGGGCCGAGUUAUAUUCGAAGUGGCGUUAGGCUGAUUGGAUCGAGUUACAAUCGAGAUCCGUAGGUGCUGUGUCUGUAUACUUUAAAUGAAUUGAUUGCGUAUUUCUAAUAGCUUAAGCUUUUGAGAUUAAUGGUUAGCGCCAACGAUUCAACUGAAUUUUAAUCAAUGAUAGUAGGGUAAUUUUAAGUAAAAUAAUAUUUUAAUUUUUUUUAAUAUUACUUGUGUUUAAU
rnacentral:lncRNA from 1 species